rnacentral:rRNA from 1 species
AACGAACGCUGGCGGCAUGCCUAACACAUGCAAGUCGAACGAAGCCUUCGGGCUUAGUGGCGCACGGGUGCGUAACGCGUGGGAAUCUGCCCUUGGGUUCGGAAUAACAGUUAGAAAUGACUGCUAAUACCGAAUGAUGUCUUCGGACCAAAGAUUUAUCGCCCAAGGAUGAGCCCGCGUCGGAUUAGCUAGUUGGUGAGGUAAAGGCUCACCAAGGCGACGAUCCGUAGCUGGUCUGAGAGGAUGAUCAGCCACACUGGGACUGAGACACGGCCCAGACUCCUACGGGAGGCAGCAGUGGGGAAUAUUGCGCAAUGGGCGAAAGCCUGACGCAGCGACGCCGCGUGGGUGAUGAAGGCCU